AUGGAGGGGAAGGGGGAGGCCCCAGCAAGCUAGGCUGCCCGGCUGCCUCCCGUGGAGCAGCCCAGCCCCGGAGGCUGCUGAGCCAGCCUCGGCUUUGGCAGGGUCGGAUCAGCUGCUGCAGCCGGUGUCCUCUCCCGAGAGCAUAUGUAGAGGUCACGCCCUCUACCCCUCCACUCCUAGUACCGCAAACGUCGGGCUGCACGAGACGCUGGAGGGCUAGGAGGAGCCCAAGAAAACCUGCGAGCUGAAUGAAAACGGUUUAAUUUCCUGUAUCAUUAACAACAUUUUCUAUAACCUCAGUCUCAUGAGGCUGCUGCCUUUCUGAUACGGCUUAUUCACAACAAGAGCCACAUCACUCCACUAGAUCUAGGUGUAAGACUAGAGAUGGGAAAGCACUUGCAUUCGCCAACUCAAAUCAUAACAUAUGAAUUAACAUAAAUCGUCAUUUGGCAGGUUAGAAGAAUACACCACUUUUUUUUUAAUGGAUGGGGUGAGAACCACAGGUGCUGACUUUUGUUUUUGCCUGUAGGUACUCCUCUCUAACCCCUCUCUCCACCUUUCCACGGCGAGUGGCAGACCGGGUCUCUGGGGGAAGAGGCCAAGAGUGGCAGGAUCUGAGAGGGGGAAAGUGGGGAGAGGCCAGGCAGGGCCAUGGUCUGGGUGGCUGGUCCCACAAAUGAUUAAUCUGGCCCUGUAGGUGCUGAGCACCCCCUAUUUUUUUUCAGUGGGUGCUUGAGCCCCAGAGCACCCACAGAGUCAACUCCUAUGGUGGGAACAUCACUGCAGCAGAUUAAGACCAUACGCACCUAGCUUCCACCAAGUGAGAGAGGGGAAAUACAGAAGUCUUUUUAGUAGCUUUAGAAUAAAUUGUAUUUCAGUGCCCCAAAGAUCUAAAGGAAAGGAAGAACCGCUGGCAACAGAGAAGAUGGCUAGAGGUGGGAGGAAUUGAGAAUAUGCCACUGGCCCACAAAUAAAAAAAACGCAGAGUUCAAACUAAACUAUGUGGUCUGUUAACAUCACUGGUGUCCACGGACUCUGAAGAUACCUCAUCUCCCCUCCUCUACCACUUUUGGGAAUAGUUCUGGUCCUAAUUGCUGAAGUUUUGGGGGGACUGGAACCUGGUUCACCCUCUGUAACCCUACAAGAGGGCUACACUCUAUAGGACUGGUGCAAUUUUAGAUUAUUGGUACAAACUCUGGAGGCAGAAUUUUCUUGGAAGCUGGCCCUAGGUCUUCAGGUUACAUGAAGAAGAGCUCUGUGUAAGCUCGAAAGCUUGUCUCACUCACCAACAGAAGUUGGUCCAAUGAAAGAUAUUAUCUUA